UACGUAGGGCGCAAGCGUUGUCCGGAAUUAUUGGGCGUAAAGAGCUCGUAGGCGGCUUGUCACGUCGGGUGUGAAAGCCCGGGGCUUAACCCCCGGGUCUGCAUUCGAUACGGGCUGGCUGGAGUGUGGUAGGGGGAGAUCGGAAUUCCUGGUGUAGCGGUGAAAUGCGCAGAUAUCAGGAGGAACACCGGUGGCGAAGGCGGAUCUCUGGGCCAUUACUGACGCUGAGGAGCGAAAGCGUGGGGAGCAAACAGG
rnacentral:rRNA from 1 species